AGUAGAAGCCAGGUCCAGUCCCGAGCAUGCCGGGACCAGUACACUCUCACAAGGAGUGUACUGCGACGCUUAUAAUCUACUCU
rnacentral:ribozyme from 1 species